CUGCACUGAUGACACCUUAGGACACCUUUGAUGAACAUGAAAACAAAGUUUAAAUCUGAGCACC